UACGUAGGGUGCAAGCGUUGUCCGGAAUUAUUGGGCGUAAAGAGCUCGUAGGCGGUCUGUCACGUCGGCUGUGAAAUCCCGAGGCUCAACCUCGGGUCUGCAGUCGAUACGGGCAAACUAGAGUAUUGCAGGGGAGACUGGAAUUCCUGGUGUAGCGGUGAAAUGCGCAGAUAUCAGGAGGAACACCGGUGGCGAAGGCGGGUCUCUGGGCCGAAAUUGACGCUGAGGAGCGAAAGCGUGGGGAGCAAACAGG
rnacentral:rRNA from 1 species